rnacentral:rRNA from 1 species
CCUACGGGAGGCUGCAGUGGGGAAUAUUGGACAAUGGGGGAAACCCUGAUCCAGCGACGCCGCGUGGGUGAAGUAGGCCUGCGGGUUGUAAAGCCCUUUCGGUGGGGAAGAAAAGCUUCGACCUAAUACGUCGGAGUCUUGACGUAACCCACAGAAGAAGCACCGGCUAACUCUGUGCCAGCAGCCGCGGUAAUACAGAGGGUGCGAGCGUUAAUCGGAAUUACUGGGCGUAAAGCGCGCGUAGGCGGCUUUGCAAGUCGGGUGUGAAAUCCCCAGGCUUAACCUGGGAACUGCAUUCGAGACUGCAUUGCUAGAGUAUGGGAGAGGGAAGUGGAAUUUCAGGUGUAGCGGUGAAAUGCGUAGAUAUCUGAAGGAACAUCAGGGGCGAAAGCGACUUCCUGGACCAAUACUGACGCUCAUGUGCGAAAGCGUGGGGAGCAAACAGGAGUAGAUACCCGUGUAUC